GAUUUUCCGGUUGAUCCUGCCGGAAGUCACUGCUAUUGGGAUUUGACUAAGCCAUGCGAGUCGAGAGGGUUCGGCCCUCGGCAGACGGCUCAGUAACACGUGGAUAAUCUGUCCUUAGGUGGAGGAUAAUCUCGGGAAACUGAGAAUAAUACUCCAUAGAUCUAGGAUGCUGGAAUGCAUCUAGGUUGAAAGUUCCGGCGCCUAAGGAUGAGUCUGCGGACUAUCAGGUUGUAGUCAGGGUAAUGACCUGACUAGCCUAUGACGGAUAUGGGUUGUGAGAGCAAUAACCCAGAGACGAUAUCUUAGACACGAUAUCGGGCCCUACGUGGCGCAGCAGGCGCGAAACCUUCACACUGUGCGAAAGCGCGAUGAGGGAAUCCCAAGUGCUUGCUCGUAAGAGUAAGCUGUUUCUGUGUCUAAAAAGCAUUGAGAGUAAGAGCUGGGUAAGACGGGUGCCAGCCGCCGCGGUAAUACCUGCAGCUCAAGUGGUGGCCGCUAUUAUUGGGCCUAAAACGUCCGUAGCCGGUUUAGUAAAUGCCUGGGUAAAUCGAGCCGCUUAACGGUUCGAAUUCCGGGUAGACUGCUAAACUUGAGACCGGGAGAGGCUAGAGGUACUCCUGGGGUAGAGGUGAAAUUCUGUAAUCCUGGGGGGACCACCAGUGGCGAAGGCGUCUAGCUAGAACGGGUCUGACGGUGAGGGACGAAGCCCUGGGGCGCAAACCGGAUUAGAUACCCGGGUAGUCCAGGGUGUAAACGCUGCUUGCUUGAUGUUAGUCGGGCUCUGAGCCCGAUUAGUGUCGGAGAGAAGUUGUUAAGCAAGCUGCCUGGGAAGUACGGCCGCAAGACUGAAACUUAAAGGAAUUGGCGGGGGAGCACAGCAACGGGUGGAGCGUGCGGUUUAAUUGGAGUCAACGCCGGA
rnacentral:rRNA from 1 species